GACGUAGGGCGCAAGCGUUGUCCGGAAUUAUUGGGCGUAAAGAGCUCGUAGGUGGUUUGUUACGUCUGCUGUGAAAACCUAGGGCUUAACCCUGGGCUUGCAGUGGAUACGGGCAGACUAGAGGUAGGUAGGGGAGAAUGGAAUUCCUGGUGUAGCGGUGAAAUGCGCAGAUAUCAGGAGGAACACCGGUGGCGAAGGCGGUUCUCUAGGCCUUACCUGACACUGAGGAGCGAAAGCGUGGGGAGCGAACAGG
rnacentral:rRNA from 1 species